rnacentral:rRNA from 1 species
AGAGCGAACGCUGGCGGCAGGCCUAAUACAUGCAAGUCGAGCGCCCCUUCGGGGGAGCGGCGGACGGGUGAGUAACGCGUGGGAACGUGCCCUUUGGUACGGAACAACUGAGGGAAACUUCAGCUAAUACCGUAUGUGCCCUUCGGGGGAAAGAUUUAUCGCCAUUGGAGCGGCCCGCGUUGGAUUAGGUAGUUGGUGAGGUAAAGGCUCACCAAGCCUACGAUCCAUAGCUGGUCUGAGAGGAUGAUCAGCCACACUGGGACUGAGACACGGCCCAGACUCCUACGGGAGGCAGCAGUAGGGAAUCUUGCGCAAUGGGCGAAAGCCUGACGCAGCCAUGCCGCGUGAAUGAUGAAGGUCUUAGGAUUGUAAAAUUCUUUCACCGGGGAAGAUAAUGACGGUACCCGGAGAAGAAGCCCCGGCUAACUUCGUGCCAGCAGCCGC